rnacentral:misc_RNA from 1 species
GAAAUGCGAUAAGUAGUGUGAAUUGCAGAAUUCAGUGAAUCAUCGAAUCUUUGAACGCACAUUGCGCCCCUUGGUAUUCCAUGGGGCAUGCCUGUUCGAGCGUCAUUUGUACCCUCCAGCCCUGCUGGGUGUUGGGCGUUUGUUCCGCUGCGCGCGUGAACUCGCCUCAAAUGCAUUGGCAGCCCGCCGUCCCGUGUGGGAGCGCAGCACAUUUUGCGCUCUCCACUGCUGACGGUGGCAUCCAUAAAGUCUACCAUUUUACGCUUGACCUCGGAUCAGGUAGGGAUACCCGCUGAACUUAA